UGACCGCUGGCGGUAGGCCUAACACAUGCAAGUCGACCGGCAGCACAGUAAGAACUUGCUCUUACGGGUGGCGAGUGGCGGACGGGUGAGGAAUACAUCGGAAUCUACUUUUUCGUGGGGGAUAACGUAGGGAAACUUACGCUAAUACCGCAUACGACCUACGGGUGAAAGCAGGGGAUCUUCGGACCUUGCGCGAUUGAAUGAGCCGAUGUCGGAUUAGCUAGUUGGCGGGGUAAAGGCCCACCAAGGCGACGAUCCGUAGCUGGUCUGAGAGGAUGAUCAGCCACACUGGAACUGAGACACGGUCCAGACUCCUACGGGAGGCAGCAGUGGGGAAUAUUGGACAAUGGGCGCAAGCCUGAUCCAGCCAUACCGCGUGGGUGAAGAAGGCCUUCGGGUUGUAAAGCCCUUUUGUUGGGAAAGAAAAGCAGCAGGUUAAUACCCCGCUGUUCUGACGGUACCCAAAGAAUAAGCACCGGCUAACUUCGUG
rnacentral:rRNA from 1 species